GAACAGAAAGAGAACCCCUUUGCCUUUGUCCUAGCGAUGCUGGGUUCAGGGCUGUGUCUGCAGGGCCGCAACCAAACUCCUUGAAUAACAAUUUCUACUCUGGGAGGCUUGGAGAAGAGAGCUGGACUACAAAAAUUCCCUGUUGCAUUCAGAAACCAAAGAACAGUGAAGCAGAUGGAGAGAGAAGACCUAGUGACCGAGGUGGAGGCCAGGGAGGCAGAGAGAGAGGAAGAAGAAAAUAUUCGGAUCCUAUUUACUUGCUCAGAUUGACCAAGAAUGGACAUCGUGAAUCACCUCCAACUUGAUCUUGUGUGUAACUGACUGCACUGCGAUGCUAUUUUAAACUAACAGUUUCAUAAUUACGUGCAACUAGAUUGUCCUAAUUACUUGCUUUAAUGUAUUCAAUAAAAUUCGAAAGUAGUUACAGAAUAUCAGAGCAAAAGAGAGAGACAGGGAGAGAAAGGAAGAAAGAAGUUCAGAUUAAAAUGCCUUCCGCGUCGCCCAAAGGAUGAAAACACAUGAAAAAAGAAUUCAAACUUUUUUCUUUUGUAAAACUCAAGAUGAUCACGGAAUAAUCAACCCAUUAUUAGCUCAACAACUGUUUGAAAAUAUAGAAACCAUCAAUUGGUCUGAAUUGUUUUUACUCGAUGCACUGCCGUGGAAGAAACACUUUUUAAAAAAUCUUCGUGAAAUUUUUCUAAAUAAAGGCUGUAGGAAUGCUACUCACUUCACAAUAAGAAAAAAAAAUGUAAUGGUAAGAGAAGAAGAUAGCAACUUCGAAUGUUUAAACUGCGAUGCAGAGGUUCGGUUCCAAGUUGAUUUGUACAAAAUCAACAUUUUCAAGGAAAUUGAAAUCCUUUAAAAAAGAAAAGUAAUUGGCGCCUCAUUGCUUACUAUAUAGGACACUUAGAACAAUAAUAACCCUACUGGCGACAAAUAUGCAAUAUUGAUAACAGGAACAGUUAGAAGAGUUAAAAACUUAAAAACUGAGUACAAACUUCUCAGCUAGCGGCGCUGCACUGGGACCGUGGAUCCACCAACAUAAAGACCUCUGCUAAGUCGAAAAUGCUCCGUAGCGAGACCAGUUUGAUUUUUUUCUUUCUCGGUCAUCUUCCCGCCUCGGAUUAACCGAAUUCGAACAACUACCUCUUGUUAAUAAAAUUCUGGAGGUCAACUUUUUCUUCUCUUUUGCAUCUUCUUUUU
rnacentral:lncRNA from 1 species